CUUCCAUCUUGAAAUGUCAAUACACCACAAAGCCAUUGAGUUGAUGCAAAUCGAUGACUGGUCGGAAGUGUCAGUCUUCUACUUGACUAAAAAAAAAAAUGUUGCUGAAAAAAAAAAAAGUCUCGUCCAGUGCGAAUUGCUCUGCACCUUUGCAGAACAGGGUACGUAUUUCUUCAUGGAAGUAAAGUUUGUACAGGAAUAGAAUGGAACUCUAUGGCAUAGCCUUGAACAGUGUGGGAGAUCCAGG